GGGAUAAUAGUAUAGCGGUCAGUACUUCUCAUUGUGGACUUGUUCUCACAGCGCCCAGAGGAUCCAGGUUUGAUUCCUGGUUAUCCCA